AUGGUGGAAUUUGCCAACGGUGUGAAAGAAAUCGCCUUAAAUCUUGAGAAUGAGAAUGUAGGUAUUGUUGUCUUUGGUAGUGAUACCACUAUUAAAGAAGGAGAUCUUGUCAAGUGCACUGGUUCUAUUGUGGAUGUUCCUGCGGGAAAGGCCAUGUUAGACCGUGUGGUCGACGCCUUGGGAGUACCUAUUGAUGGAAAAGGGGCUCUAAGCGAUCACGAACGAAGACGUGUCGAAGUGAAAGCCGAAGGGAUUAUUGAACGUAAAUCCGUGCACGAACCCAUGCAAACAGGCUUAAAAGCAGUGGAUAGCCUGGUUCUGUUGGAUUACGGGUUCCGGCAGAACCCUUGA
rnacentral:rRNA from 1 species